rnacentral:rRNA from 1 species
AUUGAACGCUGGCGGCAUGCUUUACACAUGCAAGUCGAACGGCAGCGCGGGCUUCGGCCUGGCGGCGAGUGGCGAACGGAUGAGUAAUGCAUCGGAACGUGCCCAGUAGUGGGGGAUAGCCCGGCGAAAGCCGGAUUCAUACCGCAUACGACCUGAGGGUGAAAGCGGGGGACCGAGAGGCCUCGCGCUAUUGGAGCGGCCGAUGUCGGAUUAGCUUGUUGGUGGGGUAAAGGCUUACCCAGGCGACGAUCCGUAGCUGGUCUGAGAGGACGACCAGCCACACUGGGACUGAGACACGGCCCAGACGCCUACGGGAGGCAGCAGUGGGGAAUUUUGGACAAUGGGGGCAACCCUGAUCCAGCCAUGCCGCGUGCGGGAAGAAGGCCUUCGGGUUGUAAACCGCUUUUGUUCGGGAAGAAAUCCUCUGGGCUAAUACCCCGGGGGGAUGACGGUACCGGAAGAAUAAGCACCGGCUAACUACGUG